AACGAACGCUGGCGGCAGGCCUAACACAUGCAAGUCGAACGCGCGUAGCAAUACGCGAGUGGCGCACGGGUGAGCAACACGUGGGAAUCAACCCAGAGGUUCGGAAUAACCGCGGGAAACUGCGGCUAAUACCGGAUAUCCCUUACGGGGGAAAGGUUUAUCGCCUUUGGACGAGCCCGCGUCCGAUUAGCUAGUUGGUGAGGUAAUGGCUCACCAAGGCUACGAUCGGUAGCUGGUCUGAGAGGACGACCAGCCACACUGGAACUGAGACACGGUCCAGACUCCUACGGGAGGCAGCAGUGGGGAAUAUUGGGCAAUGGAGGCAACUCUGACCCAGCCAUGCCGCGUGGGUGACGAAGGUCUUCGGAUUGUAAAGCCCUUUCGGCGGGGACGAUGAUGACGGUACCCGCAGAAGAAGCCCCGGCUAACCUCGUGCCAGCAGCCGCGGUAAUACGAAGGGGGCUAGCGUUGUUCGGAAUUACUGGGCGUAAAGGGCGUGUAGGCGGCCCGUUAAGUCAGGUGU
rnacentral:rRNA from 1 species